UGACACUGCCACCUAUUGAAUUGGAUAGCCAUGGACCGGAACAAGAUCAUCAAUAUUUUCCUGCAGUAGUGAAUGCCCAUAAAUCUAUGAGUGAAUGUAGGUUACGGCUCGACAUUAAAUUAUAACAUGAAUAAGAUUAGAAGGGAAUGUAGAUAGGUUCAUAAAAUGGACGAGAAUCAGAGUAUGCAUAUAACCAUACAAAAGGGAAGGUCCUUGCCAGAAUUAAAAAGAUGCAACACAUGCUGUAUGGACUUCCACUGCCCUUUCUGUCUCUCUCAUUUGUUUCAACCUACAAAACUGAGCAAGGUCAUCGCCCAUCUAGAGAGCCAUUUCAACCGGUCAGUUUUCCAUAAAGGAUAUACCGUUCACAGAUGUGGGUUAAAUUGCCGACCACAAUUGCAUUACCACUGCAUCCACUGCCAGUCAAUGCUUUCACGCAAACCAGACUUCAUCAAACACUUGGCUCUUUGCAAGGAGAAACACCAUUCCAUAUCCACCAUCCCAGCUCCGACAAGAAGCACCGUCUCAGCUCCGACAAGAAGCACCGUCUCAGCUCCGACAAGAAGCACCAUCCCAGCUCCGACAAGGACCACCAUCCCAGCUCCGACAAGGACCACCAUCCCAGCUCCGACAAGGACCACCAUCCCAGCUCCGACAAGGACCACCAUCCAAGCUCCGACAAGGACCACCAUCCCAGCUCCGACAAGGACCACCAUCCCAGCUCCGACAAGGACCACCAUCCCAGCUACUUUACUCACUGUGCCAACCACCCCAUGUGGACGGAUGCAAAGGGUCCGUGUGAAGGCAAUACUGAAGAUAUAUUAUAUAUAAUAUAUAGAUAUUAUACCUUUCUAUAUAAUUGCCUCAUCAAACAUCACAUAUGCUGACAAAGCCUCCACAGCCACAAAGUGUGUUGUCAAUAAACACUGACCAGUCUGUGUUAUCAAAGUAGUCCCUGAGAUAUAUUAUUGUCUUUACCUAACAAUGAGCUAAUGACACUGAUUGCCAAACAUACAACUGUUAACAACCAAGUUGUUUCUUGCCUCUCAAACCAUUCAAAAAUCUUGUUGCGAUCUAGUGACACUGCCUUUCGUCAUCCAAUUCGCUAGGUGGCGCUGUCAGGUAAAACUAGGGUCCUAGAACUGCGGUCCUAGAACUGCGGUCCUAGAACUGCGGUCCUAGAACUGCGGUCCUAGAACUGCGGUCCUAGAACUGCGGUCCUAGAACUGCAUCCUCUGGUACUGCAAGCACAUGGGUUUCAGGUGCUACUGUAGAUGAGCUACAAGUUCCAAGUUUAUAACCAUUUGCAACAAGUUCAGAUAACUUUGAAAUAUUUAGUCGAGCUCCUCUUGACACCCCAGCAGCCUAUCUAAACUUGUAAUAACAACAUCUAGUUGUUCAAAUAAACACUCCAUACCACAAAUGUAUUUUAAAUGUAUAGAAAAUGUACAAAUGACAUUAUUUACACUGAAGGGGAUUCCCUUACAUAUUACAAAAAAGCAAUAAGUACAAAUUGCACACGUAACGUCUGGUUCAGUUCCGUGGCAUUUUUCUGAUCCAACAAUGGUCUCCACCUCCAGAGCUGUGGUCUGUUACAAAUGUCAAUGGGUUGAUACAAUUAAAAACACAUUGAAGGAGAUGCGGAAUUCAUCAUUAAAAAGUAUAUUAAAAUAUACAGUCAGAAGAUGGAGUACACACAUACACACAGUGCACUUGGUCAAACAAAGGCAUCCUUCAUCAUAGAUCGCUCCGACAACCUUUGUGUCAGGAUUGAAGUUGAAAUAUUUACAAAAAUGUGUACUUUCAUAGUUAGAAAUUAGUAAAGGUGUUAAAAAAACAAGACAAAAAAUUCAA